UACGUAGGGUGCAAGCGUUAAUCGGAAUACUGGGCGUAAAGCGUGCGCAGGCGGUUUUGUAAGUCUGAUGUGAAAAUCCCCCGGGCUCAACCUGGGAAUUGCAUUGGAGACUGCAAGGCUAGAAUCUGGCAGAGGGGGGGUAGAAUUCCACGUGUAGCAGUGAAAUGCGUAGAGAUGUGGAGGAACACCGAUGGCGAAGGCAGCCCCCUGGGUCAAGAUUGACGCUCAUGCACGAAAGCGUGGGGAGCAAACAGG
rnacentral:rRNA from 1 species